rnacentral:rRNA from 1 species
GUCUGCAGCCGGACCACACUGAACACGCCCAAUCACAUCUGAUCUUGGAAGCUAAGCAGGGUCGGGCCUGGUUAGUACUGCCUGGGAAUACAGGGUGCUGUAGGCU